AUGAGGGCAAUCUGGCAGUGACAUUUCUCAUUGGUGACCUUUAUCACCAGGGUUGAUAUGGCUGAUCAGGCUGACUAGGGUGGUAUUCGCUUCCUCCCUCAGUUGCAGAGGUGGAUCCUUCCUGAACCUGUGUGUUUAGUGGAAGAAGAUGGUCAUCUUAGAUAAAAUGAAUGUACCAUUCUUCAGUCAAAGGUUUACACUAGCUGCACUUCCCUGCUACAACCUCCAAAUCUACAUCUGUUCCUCCAAAUUUCAGUGGUCCGUGCUGUCUAACUUUCUGAACACUCAUUUGUUGGGCUACCUAACUCAGUACCUAAU
rnacentral:snRNA from 1 species